rnacentral:rRNA from 1 species
CUACUCGGGUUUCUAAUCCUGUUUGCUCCCCACGCUUUCGUGCCUCAGCGUCAGUGUUGUCCCAGAUGGCCGCCUUCGCCACUGAUGUUCCUCCCGAUCUCUACGCAUUUCACCGCUACACCGGGAAUUCCACCAUCCUCUGACACACUCUAGCUUUCCAGUUUCCACUGCCAUUCCCAGGUUGAGCCCGGGGAUUUCACAGCAGACUUAAAAAACCGCCUACGCACGCUUUACGCCCAGUAAUUCCGAUUAACGCUUGCACCCUUCGUAUUACCGCGGCUGCUGGCAC